rnacentral:rRNA from 1 species
UACGGGGGGGGUAAGCGUUGUUCGGAAUUACUGGGCGUAAAGGGCUCGUAGGCGGCCAACUAAGUCAUACGUGAAAUCCCUCAGCUUAACUGGGGAACUGCGUGUGAUACUGGAUGGCUUGGAUUUGGGAGAGGGAUGCGGAAUUCCAGGUGUAGCGGUGAAAUGCGUAGAUAUCUGGAGGAACACCAAUAGCGAAGGCAGCUCGCUGGGACGGUACUGACGCUAAGGCGCGAAAGCGUGGGGAGCGAACAGG